GAUGAACGCUGGCGGCGUGCCUAAUACAUGCAAGUAGAACGCUGAAGGAGGAGCUUGCUCUUCUGGAUGAGUUGCGAACGGGUGAGUAACGCGUAGGUAACCUGCCUGGUAGCGGGGGAUAACUAUUGGAAACGAUAGCUAAUACCGCAUGACAACAGUUAUUGCAUGAUAACUGUUUAAAAGGGGCAACUGCUCCACUACCAGAUGGACCUGCGUUGUAUUAGCUAGUUGGUGAGGUAACGGCUCACCAAGGCGACGAUACAUAGCCGACCUGAGAGGGGUGUCGGCCACACUGGGACUGAGACACCGCCCAGACUUCCACGGGAGGGAGCCGUAGGGAAUCCUCGGGCAUGGACCGAAGUCUUACCGGGGCACGCCGGGUGAGUGGAGAAGGUUUUCGGAUCGUAAAGCUCUGUUGUAAGGGAAGAACGAGUGUGGGAGUGGAAAGUUCACACUGUGACGGUACCUUACCAGAAAGCGACGGCUAACUACGUG
rnacentral:rRNA from 1 species